rfam:Populus trichocarpa isolate Nisqually-1 chromosome 17, whole genome shotgun sequence.
UAAUUUGUUAGGGGCAGAUCCUCAUCUAAUUAUGGCAAAUCUAUACCUGACUGCUAGAAUCAUCAAUUAUUGCAAGCCCGACUACAUCAAGUAUUUUUGGUAGUGUAACUCCUUUUU